UAGCUGUCUCUCGAUAAAAUCGGGACUGAUGAGCCCUGAACUAAAAAGGGCGAAACAGCAC
rnacentral:hammerhead_ribozyme from 24 species